AGGGGUGUAGCUCAAGUGGUAGAGUAGCGGUCUCCAAAACCGUUGGUUGCGGGUUCGAGUCCUGCCACCCCUGCCA
rnacentral:tRNA from 1 species